rnacentral:rRNA from 1 species
CCUACGGGGCGCAGCAGUGAGGAAUAUUGGUCAAUGGGCUUACGCCUGAACCAGCCAAGUCGCGUGAGGGAAGACUGCCCUAUGGGUUGUAAACCUCUUUUGUCAGGGAGCAACGCCGGCUACGUGUAGCCGGACUGAGAGUACCUGAAGAAAAAGCAUCGGCUAACUCCGUGCCAGCAGCCGCGGUAAUACGGAGGAUGCGAGCGUUAUCCGGAUUUAUUGGGUUUAAAGGGUGCGUAGGCGGAAUGCCAAGUCAGCGGUAAAAUCGCGGGGCUCAACCGUAAAAUUGCAGUUGAAACUGGCAG